ensembl:snRNA U6 U6 spliceosomal RNA
GUGCUCGCCUCGGCAGCACAGGUGCUAAAACUGGAACAGUACAGAAAAGAGCAGCAUGGCCCCUGUUGCAGGGAUGAUAUGCAAAAAGACCCACAACACCAAGCGUUG